CAGGCUCAUCCAGUCUCAGAGAACCAAUCAGAGCUCCACUACAGUCCAAACUGUCAACCAAGAUGAAACUCAACAGCAACUAUACUCCUCUCUUCUCCAUGGUGAUGUUUGUGUCUACGAAACAAUCGUCAGCUCUGGGAACACUCGAUGUGGUGAACAAGCAGAUGAAUACGGAAAUGGCACAUCUAAGAUUCAGCUCAAAGAUUUUGGAAAGAGGAGAAUGAUGCGUGAUGAUACAGCGGCG